UUGAGGUUUUUCCCUCUCACAUAGAUAUUCUACUGUGCUUCUCUCUCUGCCAAACUCUCUCGUCAGCGACCGCCUUAAUCUCUCCCUGUAAGAAAAAUACAAUUUUCUCUUUAGCUCUUCAUUGUGAUCGGUUUCUGUAGAAGACAGAAAGAGGGAAUCGGGGGAAACUCGAAAGUGACGCCGUUGUGGGGAAUUCAAUUUAGGGUUUUUUUCUUUUCUUUUCUUUUUCUUUUUUUUUUGGAAGAAAAGAAAAUUGGAGAACGAAAGCCAUGGCUCCAGGCCGGAAGCGUGGAGCAAAAGGCAUGGGGACAAAGAGCGAGUUGAGUUUGGGCGAUCUCGUCCUUGCCAAGGUCAAGGGUUACCCUCCUUGGCCUGCCAAGAUUAGCAGACCUGAAGACUGGGAGAGAGCUCCUGACCCCAAGAAAAUUUUCGUUGAAUUCUUUGGUACAGAAGAAAUAGGCUUUGUCGCUCCUGCUGAUAUUCAGGCAUUCACCAGUGAGGUAAAAGAUAAAUUGUGUGCUCGACCCCAACCUAAGACAGUUAAGUACUUUGCCAAAGCUGUGAAGGAAAUCUGCGAAGAGUUUGAAGCGAUACAGUGCAAAAGUUCAAGUAGUGUAGGAGAUGAUAUGGAUAAACAGGAUCUUGAGUGUGAAGCACCUUCAGUUGAUCAAGUGGAAUCAGAGGCUAAUCUAAAAGAUGAGGCUAACAGGGAAGGACCAAAUUACAAGACAAAGAUUGAAGGAGUUGGUGACCAAGGCUCUAGGUUAGAGCAUUCCUCACAUAGACUUAGCGAGACCGACUGUCAAGAUACAAAGACCUCCAUCUCGAAUGAUGUAAAUCCUAGUUCGUCUCUGUUUAUAUAUUCGAAAAAGAGGCAUAAACUUUCGACGUAUGGGACUGAUUUGUCGAAGGAGUCAAUGUCAGCAACCAAUCUGUGUAGGCAUUCCUUUCUUAAGGAGGAAGGGUCUUGUGAUAACAAAAUUGAGCAGAGACAUUCUGAUGGGAAGGAGAGCGAAUUCACAAAUGGCCACAAAUCAGAUCUGGCAAUUGGGUCAAAGAGGAAAUCUGACGGCGUGAAUGUUAUGCACAAAAAUAUUGGCCAAGCUGUUUCAGUUGCAUCAGCAUGUGAUAACUUGGGUCUUCACAUUAAUAUUUCUCGUGAGCAAUCUGGAGAUGGGUUGGUAAGGAAAAUUAAUUCUGAUGGCAACACAAAUGAUUCAUCUGUGGAUAUUUCUAGGUCAAGCUUAGAUGUUGGUAGAAGGAAAGAACAAAAAUCACUGAAAGAGAGAAAACAUUCUGGUUCAGCAGAUGAUUGUCCAAGGGACAUAGAAGUCAAUUUUAAGGAGUGGAACAAAGAUGAUAUAUCUGGAGAAAAAAUUAGUGCUAGGCCUGGUAAACAAAGUUUUCAUAGGAAUGUAGUUUCAUGUUCUGCUAAAAGGUCAAAAUUUGCAGAUAUUGAGGGUGAUGCCACCAAGGGGAAAACCAAAACAAACAGAAAAAGUGAUUCUCAAAGUACUAAUGCUCUUGAUGACAUCAUAAGUAUUACAGAGCCUAAACGGUUAACAUCAGGAGGGGAUGCGGAGAACUGCGAGCCUUUCAGAUUUCAGAAAAGCAUGAAAGAUUAUAAUUCUUCUGGCAAUGAAGAUGAUCUCCCCCCAACAAAGCGCCGUCAUGGGGCAUUGGAGGCCACGGGUCAUUCUGCUUUAGUUUCCGAAAAUAGAUUGGGAAAUUCUUCUGCUCUUAAAAAGGGCCUUUCUGAUAAACGAUCCCCAGCUGUACAGUUGCUGGUAAAGCGGAAAGCUGUUCGCUUGUGGGAUGAUGAUUAUGAUGAAGAGCCCAAAACUCCAAUUCAUGGAGGAUGUGUCGCUAAGGUUUCUCUUCUUCCACGUGUGUUGGACUCUACAAAAAAAAUUGACAUGCAUGGUGAGAGUUCUCUCCAUGAUCAGCAAGAGUGGAAUGGUUCAGGCAGAGUUGAGGAUGGGUCUAAGGGACUGGUAUCAUAUGCCAUGCCCCACAAAGCUUCAUCACCAACUGUUCAGCAACGCAUGGAGAAGAGAGCUAGAGAAAUAGGUGCUGCGCACGUAUGUUCUAGCCCUGCUCAAGUAGACUUCACGAAUAUAUCCCCUAUGGAGACUAGACCAGUAGUCUUUUCACCUAAAAGGUCCCUGCGGUCGGUCAUGAGUGGCAAACCAUCAGGCGAACUGCAAAACAGGCACUCUGGCAAGACACCCGUUAAUAUAACUCAUAAGAAAGCUCCAUCUGGGUCCAAUAUUGGCCCCACUUCAGUUUCUGAUAGGUUAAAUUCAUCUCUUAAUCAAACAACAAAUGAAAGAAGCAAGUCAGCUUACUCAGGGGAGAGAAUGAAAACAACUCCAAAAUCAGAUUCAGAAAUCAAUGAUUCUGUUCUUGUAGUGGGAAAUCGAACUGAAAGUAUUGUAUUCUUGGGUGAAAGGGUGGUUAUUGGUGGAGAUGUCAAGACGAGUUCCUCUAUUGACCCAAAAAUUUCAGACCCUGUUAUGUCUAUGAAACAUCUUAUUGCUGCUGCUCAGGCAAAGAAGAGACAAGCUCAUAUUCAAAACUCUCAUGGGACUCCUCUUUUGCUUUCUGAUGCUGACAUACCACGAAGGAGUUCGAGCCCAAAUCCUGCAUCACAGGGAACAAAAGCCAGCAACAUGCCGCAACUGGAUAUAGAAGGAUUGCCUUCUUGCUCUUCUUUAACAUCUCCUUCCUCUGAUUUUCGCCAAUUUUCAUCAGAUAAUCAACAUGAGACCGAAGAAUUUGAGGAGCGGAGAGUUAGUUCGGGUCAUUGGGUUAUUGGGGGUUCCCUAAGUGGGGGUACUGAGGCAGCUGUUGCUCGUGACUCAUUUGAAGGAAUGAUAGAGACGCUGUCAAGGACCAAAGAGAGCAUUGGGCGAGCAACUCGUCUUGCAAUUGACUGUGCAAAGUAUGGGAUUGCCAAUGAGGUUGUGGAACUUCUCACUCAGAAGUUGGAAAACGAGCUCAGCUUUCAUCGCAGAGUGGACCUGUUUUUCCUAGUUGAUUCGAUAACCCAAUGCUCUCAUGGUCAGAAAGGAAUUGCAGGGGCUUCAUAUAUUCCUGCAGUUCAAGCAGCAUUAUCCCGUCUCAUAGGAGCUGCUGCUCCCCCUGGGGCAAGUGCUCAUGAGAAUCGUCGUCAAUGUCUUAAGGUCUUGCGAUUAUGGCUUGAGAGGAAAAUCAUGCCGGAGUCUGUUCUUCGUCGCUAUAUGAAUGAUAUUGGUGCAGUGAAUGAUGAUGCUUCCGCUGGAUUUUCCUUUAGGCGUCCUUCCCGAGCUGAGCGAGCUAUAGACGACCCUAUUAGAGAAAUGGAAGGCAUACUUGUGGAUGAAUAUGGCAGCAACACAUCGUUUAAACUACAUGGCCUUUUGUCAUAUCACACAUUUGUAGAAGAGGAAGAGGAAGAUCAGGAUAAUAUCCAGGCUCAUUUGUGCAAGGAAGUUGCAGAUAGGUCACCAUCAGAAGGUAUGCCUAUCAUUGGAGAUCCUGAAAAUUGUGCAGUUACUCCAAGUGACAGGCAUCACUUCAUUUUAGAAGAUGUCGAUGGCGAGCUUGAAAUGGAGGAUGUGUCUGAACACCAAAAAGAUGAAAAACCACUUUCUACCAAUGGGGCUUUUGAGACUGAUAAAAUUCAGCCAGAUGCAGAUAUGAUUUUGGUGUCAGCUUCAAUCAAUUCUUUUGAGUUGUUGCCUCUACCUGAGGGUUCGCCACCUUUGCCCAUUGAUUCUCCGCCUGCAACUCCACCUUUACCAACUUCACCACUUCCAUCACCACCUCCGCCGCCACCUUCAUCAUCUCCAUUGCCACCGCCGCCGCCGCCGCUUCCUUCAUCACAGGUUUCUCUAUUUCCUCCACCACCAAUUGGUCCUCCUGCAUUACUUCCCACGCCAUCGUUGCCUCCACAGCCUUUAUUGAUGUCCCAAAACAUUGCCUCACUUUCGUCAUCAAUAUCUACUUCCUCCCUCGCGGCAGCAUAUCAACAACGUCCUUUACCAAAUGAAGUUUCUGGCACACCCAUUGGGAAUCAACUCGCUCAAAUGACAACGAAUACUCCUCAUAUUGAUGCUUCUGUCAAAACUGAAAUAUUUUCGCAGCAAACACCCUGCUUUACUCCAGCUGGAGUCGGCACUGUACGAGAACACACUGGAUAUAAUUUGUCAAUGACCUUAGAAUAUGGACGCAGUGGCACUUAUACGGAAAUGGAUCCCCAAGUCUUUGCACAAAGGCCUCCGCUUCUGAAUCACCCACCCAAUCAUAUAUCAUAUCCAAAAACCUCAGUCCAGCAACAACACCCAUACCCCCCCUACUCAUUGCAAAACAAUUCUGAUGGGCUGAGGCAAUAUGCUGCUGAUGAACAAUGGCGGGCACAACCAAAUGAGUUUAAUACUGAUCAUCCACACAGUUUAUGGAUGGCAGGAGGGAUAUCUUGUUCAGCUUCACCCUUUGCACAAGAAGGUAUUUCUGGAUUCCCUUUGGAAAGGCCUCCUAUGAGUACAGUUGGUUUUCACAUCUCUGCCCCUCCCCCUCCCCCUCCCCGCGCGCCAAAUGCACUGCCAAUUGCCAAUCCUAUCCCAGGUCAUACUUUUCCACAGAUGAUGCCUUGGAGACCAGAAAUGUCCACCCUCAACUGGAGGCCAGCGUAGAAUUAGUUUAAAGCCUAUUGUUUUUUGGUUAUAGGAGGCAGGUCAAGUAGGAUUUGCAUUAAUAAUGCUCCAACUGAAUUUUGGAAUUAGCACCAAAAAGGAAUUGUUAAGUGGAGACCCUUUGGCAGGACUCUGUAUAUUAGAAUUUUUCCUGACAAAUGCACCCGACAGACAUAUUAUUGAGCAUGGGGCUGAUCUUGGACGGAGGGUGCAAAUACUUAUUUAGAUUUAUAACUCGGUAUCACUCUCUUACAUGAGCGUAAUGAGGCAGCAGAUUUGCUUGCUAUCAAUUAUGCAGGCAGUAUGAGGAGUUUCUUGUGCGAGAUCUUUCAACAAAACCAAGAAAUGCUCUACAUUCGAGGACGAGCUUGAUAACUGAAGAUUUAAUUAGGUAAUUAUGAAUGAAUCACAUGCUUACAAUAUUUCUUUUCAAAUAUAUCUUUUUAAUGUAAUCUUUGGAGCCCCUCUCAUAUGUACUUUGAUUUCAUAUAAAAUAUGGUAAGUUUGGUCUGGGUAGAUACCUGAAAAUUUCGUGGUUCGAUUUAAAAAACAGUUAGAUUGGUCUAUGGCUUUAUAGAAAUACAGUUUAUGAUAUUAAUGAAGAAAAUACUAGCAGGAUUUGCACGUUAAUAUUUAGAAUAUAGUGCUUCAAAGACGAAUGGUUUAUGGAAAAAUGACAGAUACAAAUUAAAGAGAAACUCGGAACUGGAAAUACCGAAGGGGGGAACAGAUAAAAAAGAAACUUCCUUUUCGAUGGUCAUGUUACUGUAAAACAAUGGGUGCAUUUUUCUAGUUUAUGAUACAAAUGACAGUCUUGAGAAAGGACAAAAAUUACUAUGUUCUUGUUUUGUUUAUCGAACGGUACUAAAGAAGAAAGAUUGCAUAUAAAUGAGGGUUUUUCCAGUUUACAUGACAAGAAUGGUAGUUCUGAGAAAUGACAAAAAUUACGAUAUUUAUGCUUUGUUUCUCUAACGGUACUGAAGAAAAAAUAGUGCAUCUAAAUUAGGGUUUUCUAAAGUAGUCUGUGACUCUGAGGAAGGACUGAAAUAACAAUAUGCAUGCUCUGUUUCGUAAAGUAAUGUUUACAAUAUCAAAUAAAAUAUUAAAAAGGAAAUUAUAAAAAUUUUCAUGUAUGUAAUAUUACGUAAUAAAUAUAUGCAUGGAAGAAAUAACACAAAAUAAUCUAUUAUAGUACUAUACAAUGUUAGGUAAUAAAUGUAUUAGUGGAAAAUUAAAUCUAUUGAGUGUGUGGUUAAGUCAACUUUGUCAAUUUCAAAAGUUAGGUAUUUUUUCAUUAAUUUCUGUAUCUUUUUUCGGCGUUGUAUGAAGAUUAGUCAACUACCUUUUUUUUUUUAGUUUCAUUUUUGUACUGAAGGUCAAAAACUUUAAUGUGGGCAAAUUUUUUGCUUGAAUUCUCUCUUUCUAACGACCAAACUGAAAUAUUUAUAUCUUUAACUUUUAUUUUUGUUGAUCAUACGUUCUAAUUUAUCUUCGUUGUGUCAUAUUUUCCUCGUCACCUACCGUUCACCCCUUCGUAUCCCAGCCCGGUAAAAUUUGUACACCCCCUUCAUCUAUCCUAUAGUUGAGUUCAAGUACGUGAUGAUUUGAGAUCCUUGAACUAAAAAAUUGACAUAAGUAAACUAGAAGUGUCGGUCACAAGUUGAAAAAAGUGUUGGCCACUGUGAGUCGAUGACAUGUCCCUUCCUCUGUGAACAUAUUUUGAUAUUUGGUCAAUGCACAUUGCUCAUGGACAACCCAUAUUGACAAUGCGCUUGAAUGGAAGCACACAUGGCAUUGAAUCAUGUUACAAGUGUGUUGUUCCCCUUAAGAAGCGAUGUGCCUUGCAAGGUAUUGCCAAAAGGGUGAUGCUACACGUACAUCAGAGUGUUCAUAACGAUAUUCAUCAUUUCACAUGAAGGGGGGGUCACUUCUAAUAAAAUAUAGUUUAUCCGAAGUGGGUUCUCUUCUAUGUGAAUUGGUGAAUAUCGUUAUGGACAUCAUAUUAUGUACAAUUAAUAUAUUCCUUGCUAGAAAUUGUAACUUCCUACCGAGGAAUUGGCCGCUUGACAUCAUAGUUUACACUGUCAAUUGACCAAAUGUUAUGUGCUAACAGUAUUAUUUUUUUAGCGAACGUAUAGUGCACAGAACUCAUGUUGGCUAGCAAUUGACAAUUCCUAAAGCGAGUAUUUAAAAGGUACACGUGGCUAUCUAAUUACCUUUUAAUCAUGUUAUACUUUUUAGAAACUCAACACUGUGUAAACAAUCGUCAAUUUCUUACUUUUUUUUUGGUUGUCGGUAUGUUGUUUGGUGGGUGCUAAUUGCACAUGUCCCUAUUGAUAUGUCCUAGAGGAUUGACAAUGACUAGAUUGUGGUGCUUGCUUCUUGUGUCUUUGGCAUGUACUGUGAACUGUGAAGAGGGGAAGCUGAAGAGAUGCUUUGGGGGUUGAAACUACACCCUUCAAGAAUAGAAGGUGUAUAUUUGUAAUAUUAAUUCAAAACAAAGUUAUUUAUUUGGGAAAAACAACAGAUAGUCUCCAUC